rnacentral:lncRNA from 1 species
UGUAAGCACAGAAGUUGAAGUUGUACUAGUCAGUCUGAAUGCGCCCUUCAACUUGGAGUCUGCCAUCGACUCAUAUGUACGUACAAGAUUGCGCACCUUGCACACAUUUACAAGUGCUCUCAUUCAAGUUUCCCAAAUCAUUUUCAACCAGCCAGUGCCAACUACAGAGGAAAAGAAUAUCCACGGAGGUAUUUCGAAUCCACACCCGACUCACGCACCAGUGCAAUUCUUCCAGUACGCGCCACCUGCCAAAUCCAUAAAGAAUUGUUGAUAUCUUGAAGCAAUAAUGACACCCAAAAAAUCUAUAGGGAAAAUAAGUUUGUGAUUGCUUAAGGAGUCAGCUCAUAAACUAUAGCCAAGACAAAUUAUGCCGCGUCCACAGAACUAAGCCAAGACUCAUGAUGCAAGCUGCCCUUAUCAAAAUUUUCAAGACUUGACUAAAGAUUGCAGGACAAACCUCACAAAUUCCAUAGGGCUCUAACAACCUCUGCAAUGCAACCAUCUUGUCCAGGUCUCCUGUUAGCUGGACAAAAGCAAAUCAAGUAAUUUGAUCAGUGCCAAGUUACCAACAGCGAGAUCUGUCCUCCAACAACAUAAAAUCGCCCCUUAGCAUCCAUCAUCACCCACAUACAUCAUCUUGAGGUAAUUUAUAGUGUGUCUAUUCACGUCGGGUCAUAGCAACUGAGGUUUUUACCUAUAUAUAUAUAUAUAUAUAUAUAUAUAUAUAUAUAUAUAUAUAUAUAUAUAUAUAUAUAUAUAUAUAUAAUAUAUGAAAAGGGAAUAUUCACCUCAAGGGUUAUUGUGUGAUCAGAAACGUCAACAGCCUUGGCCCUAAAAAUGUUGCCAAUAUCAAGCACAUCUCUUCGAGCAGCAGCAUUCGCAGCAAUUUUUAUCAACAUCAAUUCCCGCUCGGCAAAUGGCAAAUUGGUAAGAUCUUGAACCUGAACAAGUCAAAAGUUAUAAAUUUUGUUAUUCACAUCAAGGCCACCAUUCUUAACUUAAACAUAAGAAAGACUAUUAGUGUUACGGAUACUGAAAUUAUGGGGAAAAAAGGUCCAAAACUAUUCUGACAGAAGUAAAGGGUGCAAAGAAGUUAUGAAGCCAAGGCGAUGAGCCAUCUCAGUGCUGGACUUCUGGGUUUGGACCAUCUCCUCCCAAUUAAAUCUUAUUCUCUUUCUUUCCCUCCAUCAUAUCUGAGAGUGACUUAGUUGUGGAGACAACAACAGACUGAUGAUUUUUCAUGCUCCCGGGCUAUUCAACCAGCAUUUAUAAAUAACAAUGAUUGUGAAAGAAGGGGUGACUAUAAUCAGGCAAUUUAGUCAAAAAUGUGAAUUCAAGACUCAGAAUAUGUGUUGCAGUACAGACAAAUCAUGCAUAGACUAUAAUCGCAUUAACCAGAUGGCAUUAAAUUUAUUCGUUGCAUUAAUCACAACAGAUGAGAACCAACAUAUUUUCUUUAACUUGUCGAGAAAAAUGCCUUCUUUGGAAUAGUUAACAUUCUUACAUCAUGAACAUCGACAAGCUUAUAAAGCUGCUGCACCAACUUGCUAAUGGAUUCAUCUGUACCAGGAACAACAGUAGUAAUGCGAGAUAGCCCCUCAGCUUCUGCACGGCCAACAGCUAAGCUCUGGUAGCAAUAAAUCAGCCCAUUUAAAAAGAAGCCUAAAAUUUUCUGCCUGAGUAGAAGACAGAGAGGAGGGAAUAACCGCAGAGAAAAUAUACCUGAAUGUUAUAACCCCUUCGGGCAAAAACGCCAGUAAUAAUGUAGAGAACCCCAGGAAUGUCAUUCACGAGCAUGGAUAAAGUGUGUGAUCGAAGUCCAUUAGUCUGAAAUGCGUAGCUCAAAGAAAAAUAGUCAACAAAACUCAGUAGGGUUUUGAAUGAGAUAGAAACUGAAAGAGAUAGAAACUGAGUGUUUUGAUGUUUUCUCAAAAAAAACUCAGUGAUUGUGAUAGGGUAUGAGUUGCACCCCAUUGAAAGAGAUACAAAAUUGAAAAAUUUACCAUUUAGCGAUCAUAUGAUUUACUUACAUCUUCGUCAUCGAGAACACCCCAGUGAGCAUCAAGAACUUGAUUGACAGUAAAGGUAUCAGACGGCUCCACAGGAUAAACAUCACCCUUCGUGAACAAAUGUAUAUGUAUUAAUUGAAAAGUCAAUGAUGAUUUGCAGUUACAUACAAAAAUAAUAGAAUCACUGUUUCAAGAUUAAAAAGAAGGGAAAGAUUGCAUUCAAUGACUGUUAUUUUUCAUGAGAUUUAAAUUUAGCAACAGCUAAUGAACAGAUAAUAUAGCUACAUCAAAAGUUUCAUAAUGACUCUUGUAUUAUGAA